GUACUAAACUGAUGCACCCAGGGUACUGCGGUAUACCUUCGUAACCAUACUAGCUUAUCAAUGAACAGCGGCAUAUCUUAUCUAAAUACACGAUUAAUCCAGCUGCACACUUUAUUUUCUGACCAGAUAGGCAUAACUUAAAUAAGUGGUAAUAUGCAAAGAUUGCAGCUGACCAACAGGUUCAGGCCUAGCUAGACGCGGUCAAACUGCACCCACCUAAGAUUUAUUAAACCGACUCACGCUGUCUGACCGUCAUAUCACACUAGCUGUAUCUGCCUCAUACAGCUGCGUGUGAUCAUGCUCAGCCACCGCCGGAGCGAAAUAGGUGC